rnacentral:pre_miRNA from 7 species
GUCUCAGGCUGCAGGGAUCUCCAUCAGACAUACCCUCCACCCCACCCCCAUGGCUUCCCAUUGAAAGAACUCAGUGGGGAAACCCCCACUCAGCUCCCGAUUCGGCGUGCACCCAAGAAUCACGAAUAGAACA